GGUAUUUUUCCUCUGUUGCAGAGAAGUUGGUGCCAAAGUAGAAUUUCUGAGUGCAGGCAGAUUAAAGAAGAGAUUUCCAUGGAUUAAUACAGAAGGAAUUGCAGCUGGUGUGAUUGGCCUUGAAAAUGAAGGAUGGUUUGACCCUUGGAGUUUUUUGUGCUGCUUAAGAAGAAAAGCUGUCUCUCUUGGCACGGAAUUUGUGACUGGAAAGGUUACUGGACUUAACUGUGAAGUUCUUGAUGAUAUUGUGACAGAAGGCAUCGGAAACUUGUCCUUAAAGAACAUCAGAAGAGUAGAGGUUACUCUACCAGAUGGUG